UUUUGGGGGGUGAGGGGGAACUCCGAAAGCAAAGAAAGCGGGGUGUUUCUCUUCUUUCUCCCCCUCCUCUUCUCCCCAGACUGCACCCAGGGUCUGAAACUUCGAGAGAGUUAUCGCCGCUGCCUUCCUUUAAGAAGAGACCUCGGAAUAAAACACCACCUGCCGUCUUCUCCCAACUCCCCUCCCAUUUCGCUUCCCUCUCACUCCGUCGCUCUCUCUCCCUCUCUGUCUCUCUCUCUCUCUCUCGCACACGUUCCCUCCCCGCCCCUCCACCAGCAUCAGGGGCAAUGGGAAAAGUUACUGGCUGGUACCCAGGCUGGCACGUUGCUCUGCUAGCUGCCCGGACAUGGCUUUUGAUCCUCACUUUUGGCUUCAUCGGGGCAGAAAUCACUUGCAGCUCGUGCCGUUGGCAGGUGCAGCUCCAGCUGCGGGAGCAGCAGCAGCGACCUCAGGACGGAUUAUUAAUGCACUUGAGGACGGCGGGGCGAAGAGGCGACGAGGCGAGGAGGAGACCCGGGGAGGAAAGAGGUGAGAGGCGCCCCGGUGGUGGCGAGGAGCCGCCGGCGAGUGCCGGGGAUCCAGCCCUUUCCGCUUCUGCCCCCGCUGAGGAGAAAGACGCCCCGCCACCUGCAUCGCGCAGCCUGGCGGGCUCCCGGCAGCUGAGCGGCGAGCGCCCCGAGGCUCGGCUCGGCCGCCGAGCGUCGCCCUUGGGUGGGAAUCGAGCCGGGCGCGCCAAGUUCUCUUCCGCCGAAGGGCGCCCGGCGGGGAACUCUCACGCCGGCCGCGCUGCCCGAUCGGCGCCCCUGGGCCGCCCGAGGAAGCCCGGCGCGGAUCGGAGGCGACUGGCGAGCCGGAAGCCCCGAGGGGCUCCGGCGGAGAGAGACAAGCCGCCGGAGAGCCGGGAACGGGCAAGUCCGGAGCAGCUGCCGGGGAAAGCCACGCGCUUCCGCCUGGAGGAGCUGAAAUUGACGAGCACGACCUUUGCCCUCACGGGGGAUUCGGCGCAUAACCAAGCCAUGGUGCACUGGUCGGGACACAACAGUAGCGUGAUUUUAAUUCUGACAAAGCUGUAUGACUACAACCUGGGGAGUAUCACGGAGAGCUCACUGUGGAGGUCAACAGAUUAUGGGACAACAUAUGAAAAGCUGAAUGACAAAGUGGGUCUGAAGACCAUUCUUAGCUACCUCUAUGUCUGCCCAACUAAUAAGCGGAAGAUUAUGUUGCUUACUGACCCUGAGAUUGAGAGCAGCCUGUUGAUCAGUUCUGAUGAAGGCGCCACCUAUCAAAAAUACCGUCUGAACUUCUACAUCCAUAGCAUGCUCUUCCAUCCCAAGCAGGAGGAUUGGAUUCUGGCCUAUAGUCAGGAUCAGAAGUUAUACAGUUCAGUGGAAUUUGGAAGAAGAUGGCUACUACUCCAGGAAAACGUAACACCAAACAGAUUCUACUGGUCUAGGAUGGGUACUACUAAAGAGCCAGACAUAGUCCAUUUGGAGUCAAAGACAGUGGAUGGCCAUGCACAGUACAUCACCUGCAGGAUGCAGAACUGCUCUGAAGCUAUAAGAAGUAAACCUUUCCCAGGAUACAUUGACUCUGACUCCCUCAUUGUCCAGGAUGAUUAUGUGUUUGUUCAGCUGACAUCAGGAGGCCGGCCUCAUUACUACGUGUCCUAUCGGAGAAAUGCAUUUGCGCAGAUGAGGCUUCCUAAGUAUGCUUUGCCAAAGGACAUGCACGUCAUCAGCACUGAUGAGAAUCAGGUGUUUGCUGCAGUCCAGGAAUGGAACCAGAACGAUACGUAUAACCUCUACAUCUCUGAUACCCGAGGGGUCUACUUCACCCUGGCUUUGGAAAAUGUCAAGAGCAGCCGAGACCUGGAGGGCAAUGUGAUGAUAGACCUCUAUGAGGUAGCAGGGAUAAAGGGAAUGUUCUUGGCUAACAAGAAGAUUGACAACCAAGUGAAAACUUUCAUCACCUACAAUAAAGGACGAGACUGGCACUUGCUACAGGCCCCAGACACAGAUCUGAGAGGAAACUCGGUUCAUUGCCUCCUGCCCUAUUGUUCCCUUCACCUACACCUGAAGGUUUCAGAAAAUCCAUACACUUCAGGCAAUAUUGCCAGUCGAGAUACUGCUCCAGGCAUCAUUGUGGCUUCUGGUAAUAUUGGAAAUGAGUUGUCAGACAAUGAUAUCAGCAUGUUUGUUUCAUCUGAUGCUGGAAACACGUGGAGACAAAUCUUUGAAGAAGAACACAGCGUUCUUUAUCUGGAUCAAGGUGGGGUUUUGGUUGCCAUGAAACAUACAUCGCUGCCUAUAAGACAUCUCUGGUUAAGUUUUGAUGAAGGGAGGUCCUGGAGCAAAUACAGCUUCACAUCCAUCCCACUUUUUGUUGAUGGCGUUUUGGGAGAACCUGGAGAGGAGACUUUGAUAAUGACAGUUUUUGGGCACUUCAGCCAUCGCUCUGAAUGGCAGCUGGUGAAGGUGGACUACAAGUCAAUCUUCGACCGACGGUGUGCUGAGGACGACUACCGUCCCUGGCAGCUUCAUAGCCAGGGAGAAGCAUGCAUCAUGGGAGCAAAAAGGAUCUACAGGAAGCGUAAGUCCGAAAAGAAAUGUAUGCAGGGCAGGUACGCUGGAGCCAUGGCAUCCGAACCAUGUGUCUGCACAGAGGCAGACUUUGAUUGUGACUAUGGAUUUGAGCGCCACAGCAAUGGCCAGUGCUUGCCUGCAUUUUGGUACAACCCAUCCUCCUUGUCAAAAGACUGCAGUAUUGGUCAGAGUUAUCUCAACAGCACUGGGUAUAGGAAGGUUGUAUCUAAUAACUGCACAGAUGGUGUGCGUGAACAGUACACAGCCAAGCCUCAGCAGUGUCCUGGCAAAGCCCCACGAGGACUUCGAGUUGUCACUUCAGAUGGCACAUUGACAUCAGAACAAGGGCACAAUGUUACCUUCAUGGUGCAGCUGGAGGAGGGUGACAUUCAAAGAUCAAUAAUCCGUGUGGAUUUUGGAGACGGCAGUGCUGUGUCGUAUGCCAAUCUCAGCUCCACAGAAGAUGGGAUCAAGCACGUCUACCAGAAUGUGGGGAUUUUCCGAGUAACAGCGCAGGUGGAAAACAGCCUGGGGGCAGACAGUGCAGUCAUGUACUUGCAUGUAAAUUGUCCUUUGGAACAUGUCCAUUUAUCGUUGCCAUUUGUGACGACAAAGAACAAAGAAGUUAAUGCCACGGCAGUCCUGUGGCCCAGUCAAGUUGGAACACUGACUUAUAUCUGGUGGUUUGGAAAUAACACCGAGCCACUGAUCACCCUGGAAGGGAGCAUUGCAUUUACAUUCUCCACUGAAGGGAUGAACACUAUCACAGUGCAGGUUUCUGCAGGAAAUGCCAUUCUGCAAGACACCAAGAUGAUUGCUGUGUAUGAGCAAUUUCAAUCGCUACGGUUAUCAUUCUCUCCAAAUCUGGACGACUACAAUCCAGACAUUCCUGAAUGGAGACGAGACAUCAGUCGAGUCAUCAAGAAUGCGCUGGUGGACGUAACAGGCAUUUCCAGUAAGCAUAUCUUGGUGGCAAUCCUGCCAGGUUUACCCACAUCAGCAGAACUCUUUAUUUUGCCUUAUAAGGAUGUCACAGGAGAAGACAAACGAACCGCAGAAGACCUACAACAGAUUUCAGAUAUAUUGCUCCAGAAACUGAACCAAAACGCCAUCCAGUUUGAUUUAAAGCCUGGGGUCCGAAUCCUUGUCCAUGCUGCCCAUUUAACAGCAGCCCCACUCAUAGAUGUCACACCUAGCCACAGUGGUUCAGCCAUGCUGAUGCUGCUCUCCGUGGUAUUUGUGGGAUUGGCAGUAUUUGUAAUCUACAAAUUCAAAAGGAAGAUUCCGGGCAUUAAUGUUUAUGCACAGAUGCAGAAUGAGAAAGAUCAAGAGAUGGUCAGUCCAGGCAGUCAAAGUGAAAGCAUGCCUAAUGUCCCUCAAAGGGAGCUGAUGACCCCAGAACAACUAGUAGAUGAGAAGUUGGAUACCCAGCCCAUAGGGUUGCCAGAUUUCCAAAGACCAAUUCUUGUACACAAGAGGCUAUUGGGAGGAAAAAUUCCUGGACAUCCUGGACGCCAACCAACGAGCGUGAGCAGACUGCCAAGGACUGCCCAGAGUCCAGGACCAGACAGUGCAUAGACUGUUGCCCUACUGAUGAGCAUGCUGGCGGUCAGAUGUACGAGGAGCGCUCGUCAGGCGCAGGAAGUAUUUCCACAGUUGCUGAGACACAAAGCACAAAAGAAAUCCCUACCUGUAUAAAUGUUUGAAACAAGGACACCGGUCUAUCUCUGUCCCCUUCACCCUGAUAUAUAUAUAUGUAUAAAAAGAAAAAAAAGGAAACCAAUCACUGCUUUUGGACUUUUUGAUUCUUCUGAAGACAAAUGGGGUUUUUAGCUUUAAGCCUGUGCAUGUGGAUGUCAUUUGGAUAACAUAUUGGGAACUGCAGUGUACAGGUGCUCUAUUUUAAUGGAGUAAAAGAGGAAGGGAAAAAACACUUCCUCUUAAUCCUCUUCUCUCUUCUUUUCUAAUCAAGGUUUAAUUUGUAAGUGAUUCAUAAUGAAUAUAGGCCAAGAACGUGCAUGGGGUCUUUGUGGGAGGGGGUGGAAGUUCCUGACUUUCGGUAUAACUUAUGCUUUUAGCACUGCAAGAUUGUAGGUGGAUUUGCCACUCCAGCCUACAUUCCUGCACCUGCAAUCCUAUACACACGGACUUAGAAGUAAGCCCCACUGAACUCAAUGAGGCUUUCUACUGAGUAGACAUGCAUAGGAAUGCAGUGUCAAAUACUCACAAAAAUCUGCACUAGAGUUUGAUGGCAUCACAAUGUUCUUAUGGGGGGUUGUUUAUGUUUUUCAGAUGUCUCUGUUUGGACUUUUACUUUCUGUCUUGUGAUGUUCCUUUGUCUAAAGCUGUUUUUAGCUUGUUCAGAUACAGUUCAAGGUCCAGACGCAGCUCAAGUUCCUUUCACUGGCAGAAUCAAAUUCUUUCCUAUACAUAUGUUGUCCCUUCAUUCAUGCCUGUCUAGGGCAGUGUGGCUGCCCAGAUGUUCCUGGACUUCAGCUCCCAUCAGCUCUAGCCAGCAGAGCAGGCAAUAAAAGAUAGUGGGAGCUGGAGUUCCAUCAGACCUAGAGAAUCACAGUUUCCCCAUCCAUAUCAUAUGGGACAAUGAACUAGCUACUCCAAGACUGACCUUUGAAGGAUCCAACCAUAAAAUACAUUUCACACUCUGAUUCUUGUUAGUUACAUUCUGCACAUACUCAUUGCACUCAAGAAUGAAAAUGGAAUGGUGCUAUCCAGUCCAAAUUGAUUCAGUCCUGCUUAGCAUCCAGCAUUCUGACUAUUCUGUUCUGACACCAAUAGUUUUAAGGGAAGCUGAGUGCAAUUUGUGGUAGGUAUACAGUAUUUCCCAUACUGUACACAAACAUUUAUUUUGCUCCAUUGUUCCAUCUGGCCUAACAGAUCGAGCAAUUAGUGUAUAACUCACGAGCACAAAUCCUUUUCUUCUUCUUCUUCUUCUUCUU